rnacentral:rRNA from 1 species
GACGAACGCUGGCGGCGUGCUUAACACAUGCAAGUCGAACGGAAAGGCCUCUUUCGGGGGGUACUCGAGUGGCGAACGGGUGAGUAACACGUGAGUAACCUGCCCUUGACUUUGGGAUAACUUCAGGAAACUGGGGCUAAUACCGGAUAGGAGCUCCUGCUGCAUGGUGGGGGUUGGAAAGUUUCGGCGGUUGGGGAUGGACUCGCGGCUUAUCAGCUUGUUGGUGGGGUAGUGGCUUACCAAGGCUUUGACGGGUAGCCGGCCUGAGAGGGUGACCGGCCACAUUGGGACUGAGAUACGGCCCAGACUCCUACAGGAGGCAGCAGUGGGGAAUAUUGCACAAUGGGUGGAAGCCUGAUGCAGCAACGCCGUGUGCGGGAUGACGGCCUUCGGGUUGUAAACCGCUUUCGCUCAUGACGAAGCUUUGUGUGACGGUAGUGGGUAAAGAAGCACCGGCUAACUACGUG